AUUGAACGCUGGCGGAAUGCUUUACACAUGCAAGUCGAACGGCAGCACGGGUGCUUGCACCUGGUGGCGAGUGGCGAACGGGUGAGUAAUGCACCGGAACGUAUCCAAUAAUGGGGGAUAACGCACCGAAAGGUGUGCUAAUACCGCAUACGCCCUGAGGGGGAAAGCGGGGGAUCGUAAGACCUCGCGUUAAUGGAGCGGCCGAUGCCGGAUUAGCUAGUUGGUGAGGUAAAGGCUCACCAAGGCGACGAUCCGUAGCUGGUCUGAGAGGACGACCAGCCACACUGGAACUGAGACACGGUCCAGACUCCUACGGAGGCAGCAGUGGGGAAUUUUGGACAAUGGGCGCAAGCCUGAUCCAGCCAUUCCGCGUGAGUGAAGAAGGCCU
rnacentral:rRNA from 1 species